GUCACUACAGCUUUAUGUUUUGGAGAAUGACAAGUAAAUUGAACGAAGCAGUGUGUAACAUCUUUAAGACCGGCUUCACUCAGCACAGUGUCUCUGAGAUUCAUCUUAGAUGCUGCGUAGCAUGGUAACCAACGCCUGUAGCCUGGAUGCCCAGAGGCCCUCGAUCUGUCCUGAGGAUUUUGGAACACAGACCAGCUGGGCAUUUUUGUGCAUGCAAGACCUGCCUUGGCAAUGAUCUUAAGAUGUCACUGUAGCGUUUACAUCUUUUAUUUCAAGAUUUAAAUAACUAGGAAGUAGCUAAUGUAAUUCACUGCUGAGAAGAAAGGCGAGCUCCUAGAUUCCUUUCCAAAGCGAUCUCCUCCUAAUGAACUUCUCUGGACUCUUAGAUAAUGGAUCUGAUGUUCAUACCAUGCAUAUACUCUGGUUUGAUAAAUCUUCAGCUAAGAGGACCUCCAUGAAGCUGGAUUCCCUCCGGACCGGGAGAAGAUGGUAUGUGGAAUAAAUUAACAUGAGGGAAGUUCGGGGGGACCUGGGAAGGUCUGGACCCUGGCUGUACUCCGAUUCGUGUCCUGCUCGGCUCCGUGCUGAGGCUCAAUUGACGGUCUCCUUGGGUUUUCAGUUUGGGGCCGGACUGUGUUAAAUAAAACUAGUGGAAGAAAUGACUUUAUGAUGGUUCUAUUUUCUGCAUAUUUACUCAAGAAAGCAAGAGACAGCCUGGGAGGAAAAUGAAGGGGCUAGUGAGCCAGCGUGUGGAGGGCCAUUGUGAAUGAAGUGUUCUCUCUUCUCCUCUUCCUGGUCAUCCCCGUCUUCUCGCCAAAGACACCAAAUGGGGACAAGUAUGCUGAUCCCUUCGGCCC
rnacentral:lncRNA from 1 species